rfam:Brassica oleracea var. oleracea cultivar TO1000 chromosome C2, whole genome shotgun sequence
CUUAUAGAUAUCUUUGGCAUUCUGUCCACCUCCUUUACAUAUGUGUAUGGACGAUGUGUUUUGUGAGUGGAGGUGGGCAUACUGCCAAUAGAGAUCUGUUAG